GGCGGGGAGGCGGCUCCGGCGGACAAAAGCGCCGCCGCGCCCGGCCCGCCCCUCGUCGCGCACCUGCGGCCCACCCGGCACGGCAGCCGCGGCACCUCGAGGCUCCGCCCAGGCUGCCCCCUUCCCCGCACCGCCUCGAGUUGCGCCCGCUGCCCUGUAGGGCUGGUCGGGGUUGGGAUGGCCACACGGGGCAGAAGCGGCCGGGGGCGAUGAGAGCCUCAUUCCGAGGCCUGGCUAGGGCUGGGGAGACGGCUUAGCGGCGGCGGGAUCCCCGCUGUUCACACCAACGGAGGGGGGUAAAAGCGGGAGGUGAAAGAGCUGUCAGCUGAUUCCCUCUCUCAAGCAAGUCUGCGAAGGCUGCUUCUGCUGGGGUAAAUGCAUGAAGCCCAGAAGAAAAAUUGGAGUUCUACCUUGAUUUCUACAAAUACCUGGGACAAAUGUGUUGUUUCUACCUCCUCUUAGUCAUGCACGCAAACAGCUGAAUCUACUCAAGUAAUUUUCCCACAGUAUUUUCAUUCUUAGCAACUCCACUGCAAAUAUCUAGUCAAAAUUCGAGUUACAGUAUAAUUAUAUUCCUUACAUUCUGCUAUAAAAUGUUUGCCACUUGUCUUGUCAUAAGCUUCACAUCAAAAGAUCUAUAUCCAAAACAAUCCUUUUCCUCAUACCUGUACAAAACUCCCUUCAUUUAAACAGCAUUGGCACAAAUCUUUGUGAAAAUAAUUUCCAAAUCAUAUUGAGUACAUGUGUAGAUAUUACUAUUAGUUUCAGCUUUUAAAAGGACUAUUAAAAUAUAAUAUACUCUUGUGCAAAAACAUUUUGGAACUCAAACAUUGCAGUUGAGCCUAAAGUGAAACUACUUACAAAGAAACUGAAGCUUGCACUUUAAUCCAAACGUACGCUAAUGCAAACAUGUAUGUCGUAAAAAAUUGCAUGCUUAUUUUCCUGGUUUGCAGCCAUAUUGUUAGCAUGGUGCAGAAUGUACUCGCUUUGUAUUUGGUUUAGGCUGAUAACUUUUACUUAUGGAGACAGACUUUGAUUAAUGGCAAUUUAACCUCAGAGAAGACGCUACUGUCAUCACAAUGAUGGUAACAUAAGACAUUUUCUGCCAUUUCUCUGAAAAUCAUUCUUGCAGUUUGGUAAACAUUAGCUAGGCCAGCAGUCCUGUUUGUCUCCUGACUUGCAUCUUUCUUAGCCGACUGCAUCAUCAUUAUGAAUCACCCGCUCUGCUAGCGUUUCCCUGAUUAAUGAUUUAGUCUGUUUUACCAUAUUGGAACUAUUUACCCUUUCUGUGAGCAAAAUAAAUAUAUCUUAUUCUCUAAUCUUA